UGGUUGUGGGUAUGGUGUGGGUAUGGUAGUGGGUAUGGUAGUGGGUAUGUUAGGGGGUAUGGUAGUGGGUAUGGUAGUGGGUAUGGUAGGGGGUAUGGUAGGGGGUAUGGUAGUGGGUAGUGGGUAUGGUAGUGGGUAUGGUAGUGGGUAUGGUAGGGGUAUGGUAGUGGGUAGUGGGUAUGGUAGUGGGUAUGGUAGGGGGUAUGGUAGGGGGUAUGGUAGUGGGUAUGGUAGUGGGUAUGGUAGGGGGUAUGGUAGUGGGUAUGGUAGUGGGUAUGGUAGGGGGUAUGGUAGGGGGUAUGGUAGUGGGUAUGGUAGUGGGUAUGGUAGUGGGUAAUGGUAGUGGGUAGUGGGUAUGUUAGUGGGUAUGGUAGUGGGUAUGGUAGUGGGUAUGGUAGUGGGUAUGGUAGUGGGUAUGGUAGGGGUAUGGUAGGGGGUAUGGUAGUGGGUAUGGUAGUGGGUAGUGGGUAUGGUAGUGGGUAUGGUAGUGGGUAUGGUAGUGGGUAUCGUAGGGGGUAGUGGGUAUGGUAGUGGGUAUGGAAGUGGGUAUGGUAGUGGGUAUCGUAGGGGGUAGUGGGUAUGGUAGUGGGUAUGGUAGGGGUAUGGUAGUGGGUAUGGUAGUGGGUAUGGUAGUGGGUAUGGUAGUGGGUAUGGUAGGGGGUAUGGUAGGGGGUAUGGUAGUGGGUAUGGUAGUGGGUAUGGUAGUGGGUAUGGUAGUGGGUAUGGUAGUAGGUGACGGGUGCACCGUUGUGUCAAGAACUGCAACGCUGCUGGGUUUUUCACGCUCAACAGUUUCCCGUGUGUAUCAAGAAUAUUUAACCACCCAAAGGACAUCCAGCCGACUUGAAACAACUGUGGAAAGAAUUGGAGUCAACAUGGGCCAGCAUCCCUGUGGAACGCUUUCAACACCUUGUAGAUUCUAUACCCUGACACAUUGAGGCUGUUCUGAGGGGGAAAGGGUGUAAGUCAAUAUUAGGAAGGUGUUCUUAAUGUUUUGUCCACUCAUUGUAUUUCAUUCAGUUUACGACGUUGACUCCUAUUUUCUCCCCAGUUCUCUGGUGAUUUAGUCAUCACAUUUCUCCUGUUAUUUUCCCAGACCUGUCAGGAAUAUGUUCGACCAGCUGAAGUGAGGGUAGAGGCUGGGCUGGGUAUAUCCUGUCAGGAACAGGUUAGACCAGCUGAAUUGAGGGUAGAGGCUGGAUAUAUCCUGUCAGGAAUAGGUUCGAACAGCUGAAUUGAGGGUAGAGGCUGGGCAGGGUAUAUCCUGUCAGGAAUAGGUUCGACCAGCUUAAGUGAGGGUAGAGGCUGGGCAGGGUAUAUCCUGUCAGUAAUAGGUUAGACCAGCUGAAUUGAGGGUAGCAGCUGGGCAGGGCUGGGUAUAUCCUGUCAGGAAUAGGUUAGACUAGCUGAAGUGAGGGUAGAGGCUGGGCAGGGCUGGGUAUAUCCUGUCAGGAAUAGGUUCGACCAGCUGAAGUGAGGGUAGCAGCUGGGCAGGGCUGGGUAUAUCCUGUCAGGAAUAGGUUAGACCAGCUGAAGUGAGGGUAGAGGCUGGGCAGGGCUGGGUAUAUCCUCAGGAAUAGGUUAGACCAGCUGAAUUGAGGGUAGCAGCUGGGCAGGGCUGGGUAUAUCCUGUCAGGAAUAGGUUAGACCAGCUGAAGUGAGGGUAGAGGCUGGGCAGGGCUGGGUAUAUCCUAUCAGGAACAGGUUCGACCAGCUGAAGUGAGGGUAGAGGCUGGGCAGGGCUGGGUAUAUCCUAUCAGGAAUAGGUUCGACCAGCUGAAGUGAGGGUAGAGGCUGGGCAGGGCUGGGUAUAUCCUGUCAGGAAUAGGUUAGACCAGCUGAAGUGAGGGUAGAGGCUGGGCAGGGCUGGGUAUAUGUUUGGGAUUGGGAAGCCUUAGGCUCAGGGGACAAGGGGUUUUGGGUAUUUAAAGCGGCUUCACUUUUGUAUAAAAUCUAUCCUUUACAAUU